rnacentral:lncRNA from 1 species
UUCAAAACUCUCAAGCCAAACUAAUUUGGAUUUAUGUUGAAUAGGCGCAAUAAAGAGAUAAACUCAUUUCUACCACAAAGUUUUGAAUUGUAGAGCGAACUUAUGCUUCUUCUCCCUUUGACCUUAUUCCUCCAUCUUGACUAGCCUCACCUUGGACCCAGUUGUACCAUCUCUUCAGCUGACAAUCCAUAGUCUGGUGCAACCCCACAAUAUAAUGCCCAUAUGCUAACAUCCAAUUGGUUCAGUUUCUUUAAUUAAAAACAAAAAAAAUUAGUUCAGUCUCCUCAUUCCUGACUAUCUAUAAAUAAUGACUUUAACCGCUCUUAGAAAAGGCUUCGAUAAUGCAGGGAAUCAACUUAAGAAAUAACAACAACAAUAACUAUUCAGUAUAGUCCCACAAAGUAAGGUCUGGGAAACAGCUUUCUAAUGGUCCUGGAAGAUCUCGAACCUGCAACCUUUGUGUUAUUAGCACGACGCUCUAACCAACUUGAGAAAUAAGCAUGAAAAAAUAUCGACAAGUCAUGAGUCAUGAACACG